AUGUCUGAGGUGGAUUUUUUUUCCUUUCUNNNNNNAACUGGAACAGUUUCUUACCCUCUGCAGCCCAUCACUAGGCAAGUUCAAACUACUGCUAAUGCCAGCCAGACAUUCUUCUGCAGGAGACAAAUGAGUGGCUUCCACUCUUUUUUCGUCCUGCUGAGACUGAGCCAAAUCAUUUCAGAAAAUGUUAUUCUAGGGGAGGGUGAACUUGCAGCUGCUGCAGAGGGCAAGCCCGCCAUCGCCCUGCCACUCCUGACACUUUUGACGGGGCUCCUCGCCCUCUGUCUGCAUUUGCAUGUACUGCUUGGAGGUAAGAACUCCAAGAGGAAGUGUCCUUCUGGCUUCAAGGUCUCUGGAGGAUUCUGGCAGAUGAUCAGGGUUAGAUUGAAACAACAGCAUACCCCAGGCCCCCACCCGCCCUGGCCAUUUUUGCCCUGGGAUCUUUUGUCAAACAUUUAAGAUCUUAAUCAAUCUUCACUCUGACCUCCCAGACCCCAAGGAAGAUGGAUGAGGAAGUAGGUGACCUUUCACCUGUCCUUCUAUUUGUCCUGCCACAGAAGACCCAUUGAAAAGACAAUUGGGGAGGGGUCUGCUGCCAGAGUUCUGAAGACUUGCCCAUUCUCUUUUAUAUCCUUUCUUAAGCUUCCUUUACACCCUGGUCUUUCUUGUUCCGCUCCCAAAUCACUUUUCUUUCACUCAAAGGAAAAGUUCUCUUUCCUAUAGCAGAGGGGGAAAAAAAAAAAAGACACUCUCCAAAUAUCAUUUUCAAAUGAUCCUUACUCAUUGUUAGGGCAAAGGCAAUGCUUCCUAUCUUUGUCCUUGACUUCUAAGAGUGGCUUGAGGAUGGACUUCCUUUUUACCAUUUCAACUCAACACCCUUAAAAGUCAACAGUUAUGACCUUGGUAAGAGUGAUAAAAGAAGCUAGCAUUAACAUCAGUUUAAUGCUUUAUGAUCUAAACAGUGGUUUUGUUUUGUUUUGUUUUUUUUUACCAAUUUUACAUCACUGUGUCCUCUAAGUCUCUAAGCUAAGUACAAUUAUUAUCAACCCAUUUUAUAGAUUAACAAACAAAGGCACAGAGGGUUUAAGACACAUGCUCAAGGUCAUGCAGCUAAAGCGACCAAACUGAGACAUAUUUCCUUAUGUGGAUGUUUUUCUGCUCUACCUAGAUAAUCCUGAUACCCCGGUAANNNNNNNNNNNNNNNNNNNNNNNNNNNNNNNNNNNNNNNNNNNNNNNNNNNNNNNNNNNNNNNNNNNNNNNNNNNNNNNNNNNNNNNNNNNNNNNNNNGGGAUUCUCCAGGCAAGAACACUGGAGUAUGUUGCCAUUUCCUUCUCCAGGGGACCUUUCCAACCCAGGCAUUGAACCCACAUCUUUUAUGUAUCCUGCAUUGGCAGGCAGGUUCUUUACCACUAGCACUACCUGGGAAGCCAAAUGGUGGCACAGAUGGAACCAACAAUUUCUUAUUACUCUUAAGAUGUUUACAGACUUGACUUAUCUCUUUAAAAAAAAUCUCACUCAAGUUUGGGAUUUAAGAAUUCUUGUGAUUCAAGUUUUUUCUUCCUCCCUAAAUUUGCCAGAGAUUCUUACCUGAUAGUGUUUAAAAACAAGCAGUGCAAGGUUUUGUGCAAAAAGUGUCUUCUUGAAAGAUUUAAUCUUUCUACAAGUAGCAAAGAAAGUACAUGGGUAGCACGAGAGAGUGCAAAGAAUGAAGAUUCUCAACAAUAGCUUAAUCAAAUUUCCACUUCCAUUAAAUAUCUAGUCUUGUGUUAGGAGCAGUUUGCUCAGAAAUGUACUGAACCUAAGCCAUGCAGCCUCAACCUUUCUAUGAAUCACGUGAUGAUGAACUGUAUUUCUAAGAUUAUUUCCAUAAAGCCUUCCACUACCAUGUUCAAUUGCCUUUGCAUUCACUCCCUCCUCCAUCUUUUUCUCUUUUCCUUCUAAUUUGGGUUGUAAAGAUGUCAAGGAGUUUCAAAGUGCAGCAAUGUAUGAGUUACUGAGCUGUGUGGCAAUCGAAAAUCAAUGACAUUAGUUACGGAGAGAUGUAGUAAUGCCAGCAACCUGAACAUCUGAGCAAAAAAUGGAAGACAAUGUGUUUUUCAAGAAACAUAUAUGUAAGAAUCUUGACAUGUUAAGAUGUGCAAGUCUUGUCUUACAAAAAUCAAGAAGGAAGAACAAUUUACUCUAAGAUGCAAAGCAGUAUUAUUACCCUAUUCAUUUCACUCUUCCUGCUAUGAUGAUUAUAAUUUAGGUGCCAACAAUGCACUCAUAUUUUUCUCACAUUAACACUGGGAUAUACUUCAGGGUUUCCAUUUGGUACAGCUUACCUAGUAGUUGCUAAGCAAGAAAUUAACAUUUGUUAAAAAAAAAAAAAACCUUGAAAUUCAAACGUCUAAAUUUUCAACUUU
ensembl:lncRNA